rnacentral:lncRNA from 1 species
AAUGCCGAACGGAUGCCAGUUUCUCCGGCGGUAUCCCUCGCAUCGAUGGCGCACGGUUCUCUUCCAAGCUGGGUGGGGCGUCCGGUAAAGGAACGUUUGGUAUGUCUUCAUUGAUUCUGAGGUUCCCACCCAACUUUGUUAGGCAGCUCAGCAAUAAGGCUCGGAGGAACUGUAGCAACAUCGGCGUUGCUCAGAUUGUUGCCGCUUCAUGGUCUAACAACCAGCCUCCUUCUUCGGCGGCGGGGGCUAAGGCCGUCGACGCCGCCGCCUCCUCCGCCGUCUCCACUCCAUUCGUCGUGGGUGAAGAUGUUGUUGAUAAUAAUGAUAUGGAUAUAGGUUCUUGUAAUGGUAGCCCUUUUGUACAGUUUCAGGCUUUGGAAAGUUUUCAUAAGCCUUCGUUUUUGAAAUCCG